GGAGGAGUGGCCGAGCGGUCUAAGGCGGCGGUCUUGAAAACCGCUGGCGGCGAAAGUCGUCCGGGGGUUCGAAUCCCUCCUCCUCCGCCA
rnacentral:tRNA from 1 species